GCUCUCGCCCACGGCCCGGCGCGUCCGCCCGUGAGCUUCUGCCUGCGGAGAGUGUCUCUGGAACGUGGAAGGCGUGCGGCUGCCGGGCCUCUCCUACCGCUGCAGAGCUCAGCUUACCAGAUGCCCGUCUCGGUCCCAACGAGCUGGACUGCGAGCAAUUCAGGAAAAAAGCUAGUCAACCGCAAAUCUUUCUGGCUUUCCCAAGAAUCUGUGAUGGGAAAUUGGCAAUUUGGAAACAAUGUGAGAGAUGGAUCUAACAUAGCAGUGACUCUUUUGGAAGAUUUUUAGUGUUGGGGAAAGAACUUCUCAGGGGUCCGAAGAGAGGAAAUUUAGGUGGUGAAGCAUGAACUCAUAUCCCCAGAGCUCAAGAAUGGCUGUCCUGGAGGUCGAGGGAACUGACAGGUGGAGACCAGUGAUGUUACUGCUUCCAAACUCAGCACCUAAACAUCUGCAUUGCUCAUUGGCUAUUAGUCAUAUAAUGCCUGUUCCAGUUUUCUGUUAUCCCUGGCUAAAUCUUAGACAGGCAUGCUUCAGAGAUAUUGCAAGUUUGGUUCCAGACAACUACAAUAAAUCUAAUACUGAAACAAAAGUGAGUCACAUGAAUUGACUGCCUCUUCUUUUCAUGAAUUAUUUCUCUGUAGCAUGCAAUGCUAUUUGAUAACAUUUUAUACAGAGAACUUCUUUCAACUUUGGAGUCAGUUUUCUCAAACAGUGUUGCUGCUCUAUCAACUAAGUUUAUGAAAUAUACUAAAUUUUAUGUUGUUAUUUCAAUAAUAUUCACAGCAUCUUCACCAGGAAUAGAUUCUAUCUCAAGAAACUGCUUUCUUUGCUCAUAUCUAAGAAGGAAUUCCUCAUUUGUUAAAGUUUUAUCAUGGGAUUGUGGCAAUUUUGGUCAGAUCUUGAAGCUCUACUUCUAAUUCUAAUACUCCUGCUAUUUCUACCACAUUUGCAGUUAUUUCCUACAAUGAAGUUUUGAAGCCCUCAAAGUUAUCCAUGAGGUUUGGAAUCAACUUCUUCCAAACUUCUGUUAAGUGUUGAUAUUUUGAUCUCUUCUCACGACUCACAAAUGUUCCUAAUGGCAUCUAGAAUGGUGAAUUCUUUCCAGAGAUUUUCAAUUUAUUUUGCCCAGAUCCAUCAGAGGAAUCACUAUCUGUCGCAGCUAUAGCCUUACCAAAUGUAUUUCUUAUAGAAUAAGACUUGAAAGUAAGUGUGAUUCCUUGAUCCAUGGACUGUAGAAUGGAUGUCGUGUUAGCAGCCAUGAAAACAACAUUAAUUUCAUUUUAAAUCUCCAUUAGAGCUCUUAAGUGACCAGGUGCAUUGUCAGUGAGCAGAAAUAUUUUGAAAGGAAUCUUUGUUUCUGAGCAGUAAGUCUCAAGAGUGGGCUUAAAAUAUUCAGUUAAAUCAAGUUGUAAACAGAUGUGCUAUCAUCCAGGCUUUGUUGUUCCAUUUAUAGAGCACAGACAGAGUAGAUUUAGCAUAAUACUUAAGGGCCCUAGGAUUUCCCAGUGGUAAAGAACGUUGGCUUCAACUUAAAGUCACCAGCUGCAUUGGCCCCUAAGAAGAAAGGCAGCCUCUGAAGUCUCUGAAGCUUUGAAGCCAGGCAUUGACUUCUCCUCACUAGCUACAAGAGUCGUAGAUGGAGUCUCCUUCCAAUAUAAGGCUGUUUUAUCUACAUUGACUAUCUGUUUAGUUAGCCACCUUCGUGAAUCAUCUUAGCUAUACCUUCUGGGUAUCUUGCUGCAGCUGCUAUAACAACACAACUUGCUGCUGCACCUUGUACUUUUAUGUUGUGGAGACAGCUUCUUUCCUUAAAAUUCACUGACCUGGAGUUCCCGUAGUGGC